rnacentral:rRNA from 1 species
UACAGAGGGUGCAAGCGUUAAUCGGAAUUACUGGGCGUAAAGCGUGCGUAGUCGGUUAUCUAAGUCGGGUGUGAAAUCCCCGGGCUCAACCUGGGAAUUGCAUUCGAUACUGGAUAGCUAGAGUUCGGCAGAGGGAAGCGGAACUUCGGGUGUAGCGGUGAAAUGCGUAGAUAUCCGAAGGAACAUCAGUGGCGAAAGCGGCUUCCUGGACCAGAACUGACGAUCAGGCACGAAAGCGUGGGGAGCAAACAGG